rnacentral:rRNA from 1 species
ACUCAAAUGAAUAGACGGGGGCCCGCACAAGCAGCGGAGCAUGUGGUUUAAUUCGAAGCAACGCGAAGAACCUUACCAGGGCUUGACAUCCCGAUGACCGGUACAGAGAUGUACCUUCCCUUCGGGGCAUUGGAGACAGGUGGUGCAUGGUUGUCGUCAGCUCGUGUCGUGAGAUGUUGGGUUAAGUCCCGCAACGAGCGCAACCCCUAUCCUUAGUUGCCAUCAGUUAAAGCUGGGCACUCUAAAGAGACUGCCGGGGAUAACUCGGAGGAAGGUGGGGAUGACGUCAAAUCAUCAUGCCCCUUAUGUCCUGGGCUACACACGUGCUACAAUGGCCUGUAACAGAGGGAAGCGAAGCCGUAAGGCGGAGCAAAACUCAGAAACCAGGUCCCAGUUCGGAUUGUGGGCUGCAACUCGCCCACAUGAAGUCGGAGUUGCUAGUAAUCGCGAAUCAGCAUGUCGCGGUGAAUACGUUCCCGGGCCUUGCACACACCGCCCGU